rnacentral:tRNA from 1 species
UCCCCGGCGGUCCAGUGGUUAAGACUCCUUGCUCCCAAUGCAAGGGUCACAGGUUUGAUCCCUGUUCAGGGAA